rnacentral:rRNA from 1 species
AUUGAACGCUGGCGGCAGGCCUAACACAUGCAAGUCGAGCGGAUGAAGGGAGCUUGCUCCUGGAUUCAGCGGCGGACGGGUGAGUAAUGCCUAGGAAUCUGCCUGGUAGUGGGGGAUAACGUCCGGAAACGGGCGCUAAUACCGCAUACGUCCUGAUGGAGAAAGUGGGGGAUCUUCGGACCUCACGCUAUCAGAUGAGCCUAGGUCGGAUUAGCUAGUUGGUGGGGUAAAGGCCUACCAAGGCGACGAUCCGUAACUGGUCUGAGAGGAUGAUCAGUCACACUGGAACUGAGACACGGUCCAGACUCCUACGGGAGGCAGCAGUGGGGAAUAUUGGACAAUGGGCGAAAGCCUGAUCCAGCCAUGCCGCGUGUGUGAAGAAGGUCUUCGGAUUGUAAAGCACUUUAAGUUGGGAGGAAGGGCAGUAAGUUAAUACCUUGAUGUUUUGACGUUACCAACAGAAUAAGCACCGGCUAACUUCGUG